AACGAACGCUGGCGGCAUGCCUAACACAUGCAAGUCGAACGAGACCUUCGGGUCUAGUGGCGCACGGGUGCGUAACGCGUGGGAACCUGCCCUUAGGUUUGGAAUAACUCCCCGAAAGGGGUGCUAAUACCGGAUAAUGUCUUCGGACCAAAGAUUUAUCGCCUUUGGAUGGGCCCGCGUUGGAUUAGCUAGUUGGUAGGGUAAAAGCCUACCACGGCGACGAUCCAUAGCUGGUCUGAGAGGAUGAUCAGCCACACUGGGACUGGGACACGGCCCAGACUCCUACGGGAGGCAGCAGUGGGGAAUAUUGGACAAUGGGCGAAAGCCUGAUCCAGCAAUGCCGCGUGAGUGAUGAAGGCCUUAGGGUUGUAAAGCUCUUUUACCCGGGAUGAUAAUGACAGUACCGGGAGAAUAAGCUCCGGCUAACUCCGUG
rnacentral:rRNA from 1 species